rnacentral:sRNA from 12 species
CCCGAUAAAUUCGGGCGUCGCCGGUGCAUGAGAGUUAGGCUCAUGGUACGAGAUAGUGAAAAUCCCCGGAG